GGGCAUGUGGCGGAAUUGGUAUACGCGUACGCUUCAGGAGCGUAUGUCGCAAGACUUGGGAGUUCAAAUCUCCCCAUGCCCACCU
rnacentral:tRNA from 2 species